rnacentral:sRNA from 1 species
GUUCUUCGUGCUUGCCCGUUCCGACCCAGACCCAAAGACCGCAGCAGGAAAAGCCUUCACCGCAUUUGUCGUUGAAGGGGACACCCCAGGACUCACCAGAGGACGCAAGGAGAUCAACAUGGGACAACGAUGUUCAGACACCCGUGGUAUUACCUUCGAAGACGUCCGUGUUCCAGCCGCCAACGUCGUCGGAGCCCCAGGAGAGGGAUUCAAGGUCGCCAUGAAGACAUUCGACAAAACCCGGCCAACUGUUGCAGCACUUGCCACCGGAGUUGCUUACCGCUGCUUGGACGUCGCCACACAGUAUUCUCUGGAGAGAAAAGCGUUUGGAACGCAAAUUGCCAACCAUCAAGGAGUGUCGUUCUUGCUUGCCGAGAUGGCCAUCAAUUGUGAGCUCGCUAGAUUGAUGACCUACAAGAGUGGUGCAGAGGUAGGUCAAGCAGAAUCAAAUCAAGCUUUUUGAAGGAUAAAAUGUUUAUGUUAAAAUGGGAGGCGCCCCGUAAAUUUACAAGUCCGCAAACACCAUGACGCAUUUGAUGCAGCAGGCAGAACAUCACAGUGAUGUACAUAGGAAUAUGAGCAUAAAAUCGGUACUAUUAUAGGAAAUUACAAAACGCUAUACGAACUUCAAAUGCUGAUUAAACUUAGAAAAGAUUGGUCAGCACGCUAAUUGCCAGCCAUUUUCUGCAGAAACACACUCAAACUAUCAUAAUUUCCCUCACUCUUCCAGGUUGACGCUGGCCGCCCAGGAUCCUACUACGCUUCGAUCGCCAAGCUCUUCGCUUCCGACACUGCCAACCAAGCCGCCACAAAUGCUGUGCAAAUCUUUGGAGGAGCUGGUUUCAACACUGAAUACCCAGCGGAGAAGCUGAUGCGUGACGCCAAGAUCUUCCAAAUCUACGAGGGAACUUCGCAAAUUCAACGCAUGGUCAUUGCUCGUCAGUUGCUCGCUCGAGUCGCUCAGAAUGGAGGAUAUUAGCACGCCACCCGUUUUUCCCCGUUUGAUCACAGUUUUGUACAAAACACUGGUAUAUUUUGUAAUUGUAAAUGAUUUGAAAAAAAAAGAAACAGUUUUGAUUUACUUGCUUUUUUUAUUUACUUUUCGCACUUUACGGUUUGUCACCGUGUUACAUAUUUUUGUAUUGUUUUUUGGUUGUUUUUUUUUAAUUCUCAGGUUUUAAUUCAAAAGUUGCAGGUUAAAUAUGCUUUCCCGAAUUGCAACAUCAUCGCUGGGGCUUUCCCGCUCUGCAACCGGAGUCAUUGCCACUCAAUCUCGUCAAAUUUCUUUUGGUAAGUUGAAUAUACUUUUGGCAACUUAUCCAAAGUAAUCUAGAUUUUAGUAGCUCUUGAGAAUAGACAGAGCAAAACUAAAUAACUGUACGAAACUUAAUUUGACAAUUUUCAGACCUCAGCGAAACCCAAAAGGAGAUUCAAGACGCCGCUCUCAAGUUCUCCAAGGAUGUUCUCGUCCCAAAUGCAGCCAAGUUUGACGAGAGCGGAGAGUUUCCAUGGGAAAUUGUCCGACAGGCUCAUAGCCUUGGACUCAUGAACCCACAGAUUCCGGAGAAGUAUGGUGGCCCAGGAAUGACCACUCUUGAGACUGCCCUCAUUGUUGAAGCUUUGUCCUAUGGAUGCACUGGUAUUCAACUUGGUAUCAUGGGACCAUCUCUUGCCAUUGCUCCUGUCUACAUCUCUGGAAAUGAGGAACAGAAGAAGAAGUAUCUUGGAGCACUCGCUGCGGAGCCAAUUAUUGCUUCGUACUGUGUGACUGAACCAGGUGCUGGAUCUGAUGUCAACGGAGUUAAGACCAAGUGUGAGAAGAAGGGUGAUGAGUACAUUAUUAAUGGAUCCAAAGCCUGGAUUACCGGGGGAGGACAUGCUAAAUGG